GGGAGACUGGGACAAAGCUGCCAGAGGCUGCUGGCAAGAGAUAUCCACUGGUUCUAGACCUGGCAGAGAGAUUGUAGGUGAGCCGGCGUGGUUCUCUCUCCGGAAAGUACCAGAGAGGCCUGGCUCUGGGGAAGUUGGAGGUUUUACUCCCUGGCAUCAUCUGCAGUCGAGAGUGAUCUGGCAGAUACUAUCUCUCCCAACCAACUUGGCAAGGCUCUGGUCCUGCGUCAGGAGGCAAGGAGUUCUCUUGGAUGAGCGAGACGCAAGCACAAGUCAUGACAUGGGUCUUCAAGGGGCCCGACUUGGUGGGCAGAGCGCUGUGUUGGCCGUUGGCGUUCCCCGUAUUCCUCUGCAGAGGACUCUGCAGUAGCCCAUGAGGUUACAGGGCUGAUGCGAGACUUGCGCUCUGGUAAUGAUUGAUCAUUUUGUAGGCUGC
rnacentral:lncRNA from 1 species